AAUAAUGUGGGCGUACACACUGGGUGCGUUGUGCCCCCGCUCCGCCUGCACACGUCGAUGGAAAGCGCGCACGCAAUACCCCCAAAUUGUCCUCGCACCCGCAAUCCCCGCCAUCCUCGCCCCCGAUCGGUCUCGACACACCAUCAUCACGCAGGCCCACAAUCCCCAACAUCCUCGCCUCCGAUCGGCGCGGGAACACCUGCAGGAAAUUUAGUGGCUACUCAGCGAGCCAGGUGUAGUGUCGGAGAUCAGCGCGGCGCCCUUGGAGGAGAAUGUGCGCUACUUCAACGUUAUGAUCCUAGGGCCGGCGCAGUCGCCCUAUGAAGGCGCGGGCUCCUGAUUCAGAUUUUUUAUGUGUUGCGUGGUGUAGAUACUAGAGUUAAUUGAUAGCCUAUUCAUGAUAAUUCUUUACAAAAGAUGCCACUGGAAACGGGGGAAAUGCUGAAAUGUUUCCUUUGGUCUAUGUGCGUGAUAGACUAUUCGUGACAAUUCUUUCCAAAAGAUGCCACUAGAAAUGGGGAAAUGCUGAAAUGUUUGCUUUAGUCCAUGCACACAUAGGUAAGUUUGUAUUGUUUGAUCGGUUGGUGACUUUUGGCUUGUCAAUAUUAGUUUUUGGGUGAUAUCUUGGCUGAUGAGUCUCAGCUUCUAUCUGCAACAUUCUAUUAGCUAUGUUAAAGGGCAUGUAAUUUUACUAUUUUAGUAAUGUUCUGCACUAAUAUAGUAUGUGAUAGUUAUUACUAUCUUUGUUUUACGUUUGUUGUUUCUACACGUUUGUCAAGUCAAUCCAGUUCUGUUUGUAGUGUGUACUGGUUUCUGCAGCAGUAGUUUUAAUUAUAGUUGAUUUCCUGCUUUUAGCAAUGAAGGGGACACCAAAAUUUAAUGAGGAGGAUGCCAAGGUGAAGGUCAGUCUGAUGCCCGAGAAGGAAGCCAACACCAUUGUUGUUCCAGGACCCUGAGCUCGCUGGAGGCUCGCAAUUUAUGUUCUAUAACAUCGCACGGGCGCGUACCUAGUCUAGCAACAUGGCUACUCCAUGACACGGAGGUAAAGAGUAUUUUUAGCUGGUAUUUAACCUGAUUGUCUAUAAAGCCACAUUGCUCCCAUGCUGUUGACGGAAUAAAGGAUAUAUGCAUAUUCGGCGGCAAAGUGACGACUGACGAGCUUCCUGAAGUAGACAACAGUAGAGUAAUGUUCUUUGGAUGGAUGAGACGAUACCUCCAGCCAGUGGUUGGUAAAACUGAUGUGACCUGUAGUGAGGAAUAAAGUCACACUGAUGACAUCAGCCGUGGUUCGGGUACCAUUUUUUUUUGCGGCACCAAUGUAAAUAUCAGUUUUUUUCCUGAUCGCGCAUGUCUACCGGAGAUCUCAUUCCUGUAUGUGCGUGAUGCAUGAGAGAUACUACGGCGUGUUUACUGAUUACU